GCCUGGGUGGCUCAGUUGGUUAGGCAUCUGACUUUGGCUCAGGUCAGGAUCUCACGGUUCGUGAGUUCAAGCCCCACAUCGGGCU
rfam:Felis catus isolate Cinnamon breed Abyssinian chromosome A2, whole genome shotgun sequence.